UUUGGAGGGAUAAUAUUAUCCCUCUUUGUAGUGUAAAUGAGGAAUGAGUAAGGGUCAAGUAGGAAAUGUGAAUAAAAAAAGGAAGGAUUUAAAGGGUGAAAUUUUGUUUAUUCUUCAUUUUCCCAUGAUAAAUUUACAACCAAAGAGAACGCACCCUUAAUUGAUAAAUUUUUCAUGGGAAAGAGACUGAUAGCAAAAAAAUUCAUCUUUCAAAUGUCUUCUUUCUUUUCACUCAUGUCCUACAAAAGAUAAUUUUACUCUUUCCCGUUCAUUCUUUUCACUCUAAAGAGAUAAUAUUAUCAUAUCAAAAAUGGAGGGAUAAUGUUAUUCAUUCUUGGUGUGAAAAGAAUGAAUGAGAAAUGAUGAAAUUCUCUUUUAUAGGUAAUGAGGGAAAACAAGGGAGGGAUUUAAAUGGGGGAUUUUUUACCAUCUCUUAUUUUGUCAUAUGAUAAAUUUAUCAAUCAAUGAAAAAACACACCAUUAAAUGUUAAAUUUAGGUUUAUAUGAGUGGAUAUAUUCUCCCAUUGGCUUCCUAUUCCUUUUUAAUUUGAGGGUUAAUUGGCUAAGAUCUCUCAAUGUAGACUAGGUCACUGGAACAAGAUUAAAGGAUUUUAUGCAGAUGAAGUUUUAAUUUUUCAUAUCUAACAUAGUAUUUGUUAACAUAAUGUUUUUUUUAGGUGAUAAAAUUAUCAUGGAAAAAAGGAGGGAUAACAAUUUUUUUUCCUUAUAAAUGUCUAUUUUCUUUUCCCUCAUUUUCUACAAAAGAAAAUUUCACCAUUUUUCAUACCUUCUUUUUACACCAAGGGAGAAUUAUCCCUUUAUUUUUGGUGUGAUAAUAUUAUUCUUCUUCUAUUUUUGGUGUGAUAAUAUUAUUCUUAUUUAAAGUGAAAAAGGACAAUGAGAGUGAAAUUUCCUUUUGUAGAAAAUGAGGGAAAACAAAGAGUUAAAGUCUAAAUUUUUUUGUUAUUCUUCAUUUUUUUAUGAUAAAUUUAUCAAUAAAAAAUAAUAAAUUUAUCAAUAAAAAAUAACAAACCCCAAGUGUUUUAUCCUAGAAAAAAUUUGUAAGGAAGAAAACAUUAUCAAUUUGUGGAAUCAAUAUUUCCAAUACUAGAAUAGUAAAUUCACAAAAAAUUAAAGGGGUAUUGAAAUUUCUCUCCAUUUGAGGGAAAAUAGUGGAGGUUGCUCUUUUCCAUUACUUGCUCUUUUCUGCAGUCUUUAUAAAGCUGUCACAUUCUGAUCAAAUAGCUCCUUUAAUGGCGGAAUAAUUGUUCUUCGUCCCACUCUCUUUAGCUUGUUUCUUUCCUCCACUUUUUCUCUCUUCAUAUGUAGCAACCAACAAGAUUGAGAGAGAGAAGCUUUUGACCCAUAUAUUUGCCUCGUGUUUUACAAUGUAGGUACACUCAUUUGAAAUGCAAAAUUGUGAGAAUCUUGUGAUGUUUACACAAAGUUAAUUAUGGGAGCUCAAUAUUUUUUUGGGUUAUUAGAAUAUAAGUUACAGUAUUGUGUCGUUGCGAAAAUACACUUCAUAUAUUCUCCAACUAAGUGUGGGUUGUCUUAAUGAAAUGUCUUUGGUUCUAUUCUCGGCCACCUAUAAGUGGGUUGUCUUUUGUUUUCAUUUGAAUAUAUAUAUAGUUUGGUUUUGGUUAUUGUCUGAAUUACUUAGAAUUCUUUAUAAUUUAUAUUCGAUUUAUGAUAUGAUUCUUGUAUCUCAAAAUAAAAAUUAGGUUUUGUUAAAAACUAUUCAAGGAAAAAUUCAUACAUACAAAAAUUCCCAUGUUUGUAACCUUUAUGGUUUAGGGUUGCCCUAAUCUAGCUAGAACAAGAGUAUUGUAUGGUUGGCAGGCUAUAGGGCGUUGGAACUUGUAGCUAAUUCAAUUAUAAAUGGUGUUUGUUGACAUUCGUGAGCUUUAUUGCAUUGAAUAUGGGGUUUAAUUUGGAAGUGGUCACUUUUGGUAACUAUAUUUAUAUUUAUUACACACGCUUCACACAUUCACAUGUGACACAGGUUUUGUCUAUUUUAAAGGAAAUCAUGAGAAUAUUUAUAUCACUUCUUUUCUCGAGCCAAAGCCCAUUUAUUUAUGCACUUAAACUCUCCUUGGAGAUGGGUGUGUGUAUUGUAUUGUGCUCUCUCCCACCUGAGGAUUCUGAUUUUUCAAGUAAUUUUAAAAGUGCACUUCAUUGUGUGCUUCGAGACUACCAAGUACAUUUUUAUUGUAUUUUUCUUAUUUUGGAAUUUCAAGUCAUUUGUCUGUAAGAAAAUCUUGUUGCCCUUGGGUGAGUGUCGGCCGGAUAUGUUCGUCGAAGCUCGUGAGAUUUUGCCUGUUUUGUUUCUGGUGGAUUUCUAGAUGUUGCAUUGAAUGAACUACAUUUGGUAUAUUGUUAUUUUUUAUGUAUGAUAUAUUACGGUCACCAACUUAUUUUGGUCUUGUGAUUUUAGACUUUUUUUUUUUCUGAAACCAUUGAUUUUAGACUUUUUAGUGUGAGGUUAAUGCGUCUACUGAUAAAGUACGUGCAUUCUGAUUUGUGGAUUGUAUAUAUUGUCUCGAUUAAUUAUUUGAUUUUCCAACGAGUUUUGAAGUUUUAUUGCAUGAGGAAUGUAUUUAUAAGAAGAAAUAUUGAUUGAAAAACUAAUUUUUUCAUAAAAGAAUGAGGCAUUAAUGACGUGAACAUGAG
rnacentral:lncRNA from 1 species